AAGUGUUCCAGCUCUUCUAGAAUUUGUCCAGCAGGUUUUCUGCUUUUCAUUAGAAAACCCCU
rnacentral:snRNA from 2 species